UCCGUUCGAAUUUAUUAGCCUGGCGGCAGA
rnacentral:piRNA from 1 species